rnacentral:lncRNA from 1 species
GUCACGGCCGGAAUGAAAAGCGGGUUGUUCGUGAAUGAUGGAUUUGGAGGAAGCAUGGUGGAUGUGCCAGCAGCGCUAAACACAUUAGCGUAUGGACCAAAUCCAGGCGGAUAAAGUGGAUCGUCGACUUGGGCUUGAGUAGAACUGGGAUGAUUUGCAUCUGAAAGGCCAGGAAUCGAGGAAGGCGGGGCUUGUCCAUUCGCCCAGGCCUGAUACAUUUCCGCAAUUUGUUGCUUCAAUAACCUAUUCUCCUCCAAAGAUGCAAAUUCUCAUGGAACUAACUGAUCUCAACCUUCUUCAUUAUCAGAUUCUGUUCCAU